ensembl:lncRNA
CAGAAAACCCACACACCAGCCAGAGAUGAGGAAACACACACAGAGUAACACAGGAAAAAUAGGUCUUGGGAAGUGGAUCUCCCAGUUUUAGACAUCUGUCCCCGAGCAACCCUUUUUCUCAGAACCCUGCACUAAGGGCACUCUUCCUCUCCAACUCCACCGACGCUCAACCCACACUCAGCUUCUGGGCUUCAAAGAAACAUCCACACUUCACCCUUCCUUCCAACUAUCACCUGCUCUGCAUUCCAAUCCUGCGCCCCCAGCUGCUUUCCAAGGUCAUAGGUAAUUAUCUGAUUUUUUAAAAAUUUAAGUCUUACACAAGUAGAAAUGUAUAAUUGAGCUUUAAAAUUUCCUUUUCUUCUUGUCUUCCCUUUUCUUCUCUUUUUUGGUAAAUUAAUUGAUAAACUCUAUCAAGAGCCAGAAAUCUAGAUGAACAGAUAGGUGCAUAGAUGCUAUUGUGGAAUGAAUUAUGUUCUCCAAAAUUCAUAUGUGGAAGGCCUAGCCCUGGAUGUGAUAGUGUUUAUAGAUAGGACCUCAGUGAAGUACUAUAGUUUAGGUCUAAACUAUCCCCCCAAAGUCUCAUUAUUCCAAGGUAGGGCUUUUAAAAGAUGAGUGGAUUAUGACAUGCUAGGCUUAUUAGUUGACUGAUCUACUGAUAAGUUCAUAGCUGAACAGUCUGUCAGGAGGUGGGCCCUGGUUGGACGACACAGGUCACUGGGGUCAUGACUUGGAAGGGUGGAUUCUCCUCCCUAGUGCCUCCCUUCUCUCUGUUUCCUGGCUGCCCUUAGAUGAGCAGCUUUCCUCUGCCAGGCCCUUCCACCAUUGUUUCUGCCUUGGAGCCAGUAAACCAUGGACUGAACCCACUGAAGCUGGGAGCCAAAACUUCUCUUCCUUUGUGUUAUGAGCAACAGAUAUUUUGUCCUAGUGUCAAGAAGCUAAUAUGAGGUAAUUAAACUUAUAUAAGGUGUUAUGGCUUGUAUUUAAAUGUUCCCCCUCCAAAGCCUCAUCAGUCAUAAGUGGGGAUUUUCAGAGGUGGCUGGAUCUAGAGUAUAUGAGGCUGGGAUGAAGUGUGUGAUCCUGGGAUCAAGGGUGAUUACUAAAUUAGUCCACUGAUUGGUUUGGCAUAGUUCUUUGUGUGGAUAAUGGGAAGGCCCACUCUGGGUGUGAGUACUACCCACCCUAAGGGUGGGUAGCCUGGGUAGGAUAUAAGGGACAGAAAAAAAGCCUGCUGUCUUACUUGCUGCUUCUUAGCUACUUUGCUGACUUCUGCCUGCCAUGAACUGUUUCUCUUCUGCUAUGCCACCCUGUCUUGGAGCCACCCAAUUAUGAACUGAAACCUCUAUAAACUGUGAGCCAAAGAAACCUUUCCUCCUUUAACUUCGGGUGUUGGGUAUUUUGUUUCAGCAGGAGAAGGUCAUAAGGGUCUUUAAUCUGGACUGUAUCCUUAUAGCAAGAGGAAGAGACCUAGAACCCUCUUCCUGUGUGCACACAGAGAAGGCGCCACUGAGGCCACUGCAAGAAGGUGGAGUCUGUGAGCCAGAAGACAGCCCUUGCUGAAGCAGCACUGGGAGCCCCUUGCUCUUGGACUUCUGGUUGCAGAUCUGCAAGAAAGUGACCUUCUGUUGUCUAAGCUACCUGUGGCAUUUUACUACAGCUUUCC